AAAGUAUUUGCGGUUUUUGCCAUUUAGAAAAGUAAUGGCAAAAACUGCAAUUACUUUUACACC
ensembl:miRNA